rnacentral:rRNA from 1 species
GCAGCGAGAGGUGCUUGCACCUUUCAAGCGAGUGGCGAACGGGUGAGUAACACGUGGAUAACCUGCCUCAAGGCUGGGGAUAACAUUUGGAAACAGAUGCUAAUACCGAAUAAAACUUAGUAUCGCAUGAUAUCAAGUUAAAAGGCGCUACGGCGUCACCUAGAGAUGGAUCCGCGGUGCAUUAGUUAGUUGGUGGGGUAAAGGCUUACCAAGACGAUGAUGCAUAGCCGAGUUGAGAGACUGAUCGGCCACAUUGGGACUGAGACACGGCCCAAACUCCUACGGGAGGCUGCAGUAGGGAAUCUUCCACAAUGGGCGCAAGCCUGAUGGAGCAACGCCGCGUGUGUGAUGAAGGCUUUCGGGUCGUAAAGCACUGUUGUAUGGGAAGAAAUGCUAAAAUAGGGAAUGAUUUUAGUUUGACGGUACCAUACCAGAAAGGGACGGCUAAAUACGUGCCAGCAGCCGCGGUAAUACGUAUGUCCCGAGCGUUAUCCGGAUUUAUUGGGCGUAAAGCGAGCGCAGACGGUUGAUUAAGUCUGAUGUGAAAGCCCGGAGCUCAACUCCGGAAUGGCAUUGGAAACUGGUUAACUUGAGUGUUGUAGAGGUAAGUGGAACUCCAUG